UUCUUCUUUUUUUAUUCUCUUUCUCUUUUCUUUCUCUUAUCUUAGCCCCCUUCACUCUCUUUGCCCACUUGUUCAUCCCACGUCGUCGUUGCCGAAUUGCCCGACGGUAGUGUUUAUAUCUUUUCCGGCAACGUGAGUCUUCUCCGGCAGCAUGCAUCUUCUCUGGCGAGAUGGAAUUUACACAUCGUAGAUGGUUGUACAAUAGGAAUCAUGCGAAUCGUAACGGUUUGCGGGAAGAAUUUAUAGAAGUGGUUGCUGGCUUUAUUGGUAAAGAAAAGACAUUUGAUGAUUUCCUUAUUGAAGGGACGAUUAGGUGUCCUUGUGUGAAAUGCAAGUGAGUUAAGUUAUUGGCUUCCGACAUUAUUACUGUUCAUCUAUAUAAGAAGGGGUGUAUGGUAAAUUAUUAUGAGUGGACUAUUUAUGAGCAGAGUCAUGCUAGUGUAAAUGAUAUUGAUUUUCAAAAUUCUUUUGGUGGAGAAGACGAUAGUCCCAUAGCGGGGAAUAAUAAUGUAAAAAAAUUUCGAUUCAAUGAAAUGAUGAGGGAUGCUUUUGAGA